AGAAGAGAGCAAACAAAGAUGGAGAGCAGAAAAUUGCCUCAUCCAAGGGAACAUGCCUUUGUAAACAUGCCGGCUGAUCUUAGGUGUGAUGUUUAGCUGUACUCAUCUCUCGGCUUCUUCCCGUUGCCCUCCAGCUCGCUGUUGACUCGUUCACAUUGUAGGGAAAGAAAAGUUGUAAGAGCAAGCUGGCACAGAGGAAGGAAAGGGCUUUAAUGGAAAGCUUGGUGCCAAAGAAUGCUGCAGGAGGUGACAAGCCCCAAAUGAGAAGGAAAGUUACUAUUGCUGGAACCUGCUCAGAAAAAGCCAUUAUCCAAAUUAAGAUUCUACGAUCGAUGCCGACCAGCCAUUCCCUUCCCGGACCACUAUGUUGGUGCGUUUAACCUUCUGCGACAUCUACAUUACGCUUUGAGCUAUAGCAAAGCGUUUACCUGGGCAGUGAACUCUACCAAGCCACUUUCCAAAUCAGUGAUUUAUCUGAUACAUUUGUGACGAGGGAAGCCAUGUAAAAAGGUCUCGCUUUUCUGACCGAGAGACAUCCAACCCUGGAAAUCUGAUUUGAAGAUCUUUGAUCCUGGCCGUCUCUGAGGGAAACGCGGGCGGCAGAAUUUGUAUGAGCCGCAUCCUCCGUCAUGGGGCUGAGCAAAUCUCCCUUCACCUGGGAUUACCUGUGCAAAUUGAAUCUGAUGGCAUCGAACCCAAGAAGCAGGCUUGGUUAACUAACACUUGCGGAAAUUGCCUUGGGGUCCCCAGACGAAAGCUUAAAUGGACUGUAGCAACUGACGCCCGGUAUCAAAAGGAAGUCCAUUAUGCAGACAAUCAGACCACAAGUCAAUGAGGUUUCUAUGAGGGUUGAAGGGACUGGACCAGAAGAAGUUACUGGGACCCCAUUUAAACUCCAUUGAACUUCAUUAUAUGGGUCUACACUGACCAUAGAAUGCAGUUUCAUCCUAUGGUAGUGUAGAUGAGAUCUUAAUCAAUUCUAAGUUUAUAAGAUUCUAGCUUUUAUUUUUAGUACAAAAAAUGUUGUUUUAUGAAAGCGAAUAUGCAAAUGUUGUGCAGAAUAAGACAUGAAAUGCGAAUAUUUUUAACGGUAUGGAAUCCUUGUAAAAAAAGAAACAUGUUUCCCCGCCCUUUUUGAGAAUAUUUUCAAAUACUCUUCACAUCCUUGUUCAGACUAAAAUCCAGAAUGGAUUCUCCGCCCUGACAGUAGAGUCAUUGGCCAUCUUACUUCCCUCUCCAUCAUAGCUGUCGAUGUUGAUACAUAAAUCCCUUUGUAAGUUAUGUAAGUUAGUUUACUUUUAUUAGGACUACCAAUAGGAUACAGACCAAUGUUUUAGGGAACAUGUUAAAAUGUUAAAAUAAUCUCAAAACUGCAAUAUAAAUGCUGAAUAUCACGUCAGCCUGUCUGUUGAUUCUAGGCCUCCGGGGUUGUGCUUCACUUUGCCGUCUCCGGGAUGGAUUCAAGAACGUGAAAUUCCCUUGGCAUCCAUAAAUAACCCAGCGUUACUGCAGGGCCUCGAGGAGCUUUUGUAAAAUGCUGGCUCCUAACCCAACAAUAUUCAAUUAGUAUGUUUUGUUGAUUACCAUCUGGGUCACUGUUGUCAGAGUUACAGCUGGCUCGGUCCAGGCUCAUAGAUCAUAUUUGAGAAAAACCCACCUGGGGAAAACGGGAAGAUUAAAAAUACCCACGCACGCACAUACACACUCACAUACAAACAGUUGGGAACAUAAUACCAUUUCUGAGCCAUCUCAGGGCUGCUUUAUCGACCACACUGAAAUGACCAACUUUAUUAAUUUUUGUCCAGCUUAAAUAACAGGGAAAAAUAAUAAUAACAAAGCACUGAUGGGUUGCUCUCUUGUGAUCUUAUACUUUCCCAUAUAUCAAUUUAAUCCUUUUCCACUCAAAUGGCAUGUUGGAGUACCUGGAGUCCCAUUAUAUUGCAGAAUUCAAAGAGUUAGACCUCCAAAGUAUUAUGACACUGUCACCUGGAGAGAUAUAGGACUCUUUCAUACUAUACAGUCACGGUACAUUGCGUCCAAUUUAACUGCAAUGGCAUCCUCCUAAUGUUUUUACCUUGGUGAGGAAUUGGAGCUCUUUGACUAAGAAUUCUUAACAUCCUCUCCCUAAACUACAAAUCCCAGGAUUCCAUAGCAUGUUGCCAUGGCAAUUUAAGUGGAGCCAUAGCACUAUAACUGGGUAAUGUUGAAAGGGCCCAUAAAAAAUGUCUUUCUAUCCCAUGUACUUGGGCUUCUUUUUACAGAUCCCCCAAAUCCACUCAACAAUUCUUAACAACUAAUAUAUUGCUUUUUUAUUACUGGUGUCCCUUUCUUGUCCCAGAUAACGUAAUGUAUGUGGUGCAGCCAUUUUCUGUAAACCAUGACAUUGAGAAACAUAAAGGACAUAAUUCUUAUAGUCAGUAGGUCAUAGAUUAGAUAUGCAUUGGCCCUUAAACCACAUGUUGAUUUAUUGGAAUUUCCUAGGCUAGGAAUAUUAUUUAUUUAUUUACAGUAUUUAUAUUCCGCCCUUCUCACCCCGAAGGGGACUCAGGGUGGAUUACAAUGAACACAUAUAUGGCAAACAUUCAGUGCCAACAGACAAACAACAUUCAGUUUUAGACAGACACAGAGGCAUUUAACAUCUUUCCAGGUUCACGAUUCCGGCCACAGGGGGAGCUGUUGCUUCACCAUCCAUUGGUGGCUGUUCUUCCUCAUUCUUUUCCUCGUGAGCAAUUUUUAUGGUGUUGUAGAUUAGUUAAAUUAGCCUCCCACAUAAAACGUACCUAAAUACUCCUUUGAAAUGUAGCUUACAGCACCUGAAUUCAUUGACAGUGCCCCAUUCAAAUGCUAACCAAAGUUGACCCUGUUUAGCUUCUAAGAUGAGACAAAAUCUGGUACCUUUGGCAUAUUUAGACUGUAAGGAACUUGGAGUCUAUGGGCAGUCCAAGCAGAGGAGACCCAUGGAUUCAAAGGAGUCUAACCUAUGUGUUGAUUUACCGUUCAAUGGCUGGUGUUGUGGGUCUAGAAGGUUUCUGGUUUACAUGUAUAAAUAAAGUGAACCUUAACACUCAAGACAUUGGGAUCCCCAUGAUGAUGGCUAGAAAAUACUAUAGAUUCAUUGAAUGCACUGUAAAAAGAAAAAUCAACUGGAUGAAGAAGAAGUAACCUUUGAACCAUUGUGUCUUCUCUUUCCUAUUUCAUGUAUUUACCAAAUUUCAGCUCUACACUAUCCUAGCUCCAAGGAUCUCAGAAUAGUAUAAGCUUCCCCUACUCUUUAGAGAACCAGAGCUUUGUAGUGGUUUGAGUGUUAUGUUAUGACUCUGGAGAUCAGGGUUUGAUUCCUUGUUUGCUCAUAGAAACCCACCGUGUCACCUUGGGCGAUGUAGACACUCUCAAUUCCAAAAAAUCUGAGCCUGAGAGAGGAAGGAACACUUGGACAUUUGCUUCUUUGUAAGGAUCCCUGACUGGUUAGAAUCAAUCUCAAUCUACAAAGGAUAGUGAAGCCUUAACCGGGUGAGAAAAUUGAAUACAUCUAGUAGCAGAUGACAUGAAAAGCAAUAGCAUUAAAUAUAGUGAGGAAAAAUGACUUUUAUAGUCUUUAUGAUAUUUAGUGAACACAAGUCCAAAUUAAAAAUCCAGGAAGCCAAAAUUAUAGAGCAUUUUCAAACUGAAAAAGCUUAUAAGACCUUUUGUAGCCAGAUGUGUUUCCUCUGCUGCGAAUCACCCUGCAGACUGUCUGAAAUUUAGGCAGGUUAUUUCUGAGUGAUAUCGUUAUGAAAUAGGAAGGGAACUUGCAACUAAGUCAUUUAGAGGGAAGGAAAAAGAAAGAAAAAAGAAAGUCAAAUUCCUUAUUUCCUGGGAGAUGUGCUGUUGGUUUGACAUUCUCAAGGUCUCAAAGCAAUGCCCAUCAGUCAAAGACAACCAGGCCUGGCCUCCGGAAAAGAGGCAGCCUAUAUUUUUAGAGGAAAGUAGGCAUGGAGGAAAGUGUGGGGCAGAUUUCAGAGUUUAUGUGUGUGAUAGCUCCCAUCUCAGACUGCUGAUGGAGCCACUCCAGGUGUUAGUCUGCACUUGAAAAGAACUAUCCAAGGUACUAGACCUAUUUUAGGAACAAAGUUCAGCACUUUGGACAGCACUUUUAAAUCCAGUAGUGGAGUCUAUAUCUCACUGAUAGGGCAAUUGACUCCAGGUUGAGACCGCUCAAUGGCUCUUCAUGAAACCUCUAAGAAUGGAAUUGUGAACAACCUCUUCUGAGUCUAAGAAAACCAUGAAUGCCAUAAACAAUCAACCUAUCUUAUCCUGACUCUUUAUAUUCUUAAGACCUGGUAGUCCUGUUUUCUAAGGGUGCAUCUACACUGUAGAAUUAAUGCAGUUUGAUGCCCUUUGAACUGCCCAUGGUUCAAUGUUAUGGAAUCAUGGGAUUUGUAGUUCUGUAAGACCUUUAGGAUUCUCUGACAAAGUUCUGAUGCCUUAGGUAAGGUAAAGGUUUCCCCUGACGUUAAGUCCAGGCAUGUCUGACUCUGGAGGUUGGUGCUCAUCUCCAUUUCUAAGCCAAAGAGCCGGCAUUGUCCGUAGACACCUCCAAGGUCAUGUGGCCAGCAUGACUGCAU